ACCAUUGGCAGUUGUGCAUAGCAUCAUGGGAAUCAUCUGUAACCAUUGGCAGUUGUGCAUAGCAUCAUGGAGAUUCUCUACUUUCCAAUCGUGGGCUGGUGAUGUUGACCUCCUUAGCAAAUGGUAAAACCUUCUUCCCAAAGUCACCCAGAAGCUUCUGAAAGAUGUUUGGAACCUGAGGGUGACUUUUCAAUGAAUGAGCCGAUCACACCAAACUCCUGUAACUUUAAAAAUUCUGCUAUUUCUCCUGAGAUAUCUGUCAAUUUUUAUUGUAUAUAAUUACAGUGCCCAUAGUGUAGACUGGCAGUCCUUUUCCUGUGUCCUCUGAAGUGCUUGUCUGAUGUUUCGCUGAAAGACAUGAAAGUGUAGUCAUGCCUUCAGCAAUAAAUAUUUGCUUCACUUAUUGUAAAUAUGCCUCGCUAAGUUCUCCCACAGGCAGACAGUAACAACUCCUUCUCAACUCACUCUCCUGCCAGCAGGUGGCAAAUUUCUUUUGACAUAAAUUAUAAGCUGCACUCCAAUUUUAGAAAUGUUAAAAUGUGAGCAAAUAAGAGUCUGAGAAUAAAGGGAAUAAAGCAGAUAUCUAAAUGAGGUAAACUCUGAGGAUUCAGAUCAAGAUUCCAGUGCCCAGAGUAAGAAGAUGAGGGUCUCAUUCUGUCACCCAGCUGGAAUGCAGAGGAGCAA
rnacentral:lncRNA from 1 species